rnacentral:rRNA from 1 species
UCAGGACGAACGCUGGCGGCGUGCCUAAUACAUGCAAGUAGAACGCUGAGGACUGGUGCUUGCACUGGUCUAAGGAGUUGCGAACGGGUGAGUAACGCGUAGGUAACCUACCUCAUAGCGGGGGAUAACUAUUGGAAACGAUAGCUAAUACCGCAUGACAAUAGGGUACACAUGUACCCUAUUUAAAAGGGGCAAAUGCUUCACUAUGAGAUGGACCUGCGUUGUAUUAGCUAGUUGGUAAGGUAACGGCUUACCAAGGCGACGAUACAUAGCCGACCUGAGAGGGUGAUCGGCCACACUGGGACUGAGACACGGCCCAGACUCCUACGGGAGGCAGCAGUAGGGAAUCUUCGGCAAUGGGGGGAACCCUGACCGAGCAACGCCGCGUGAGUGAAGAAGGUUUUCGGAUCGUAAAGCUCUGUUGUUAGAGAAGAACGGUAA